rnacentral:rRNA from 1 species
CGAGCGGGGAGGGUAGCUUGCUACCUAACCUAGCGGCGGACGGGUGAGUAAUGCUUAGGAAUCUGCCUAUUAGUGGGGGACAACAUUCCGAAAGGAAUGCUAAUACCGCAUACGCCCUACGGGGGAAAGCAGGGGAUCUUCGGACCUUGCGCUAAUAGAUGAGCCUAAGUCAGAUUAGCUAGUUGGUGGGGUAAAGGCCUACCAAGGCGACGAUCUGUAGCGGGUCUGAGAGGAUGAUCCGCCACACUGGGACUGAGACACGGCCCAGACUCCUACGGGAGGCAGCAGUGGGGAAUAUUGGACAAUGGGCGAAAGCCUGAUCCAGCCAUGCCGCGUGUGUGAAGAAGGCCUUUUGGUUGUAAAGCACUUUAAGCGAGGAGGAGGCUACCGAGAUUAAUACUCUUGGAUAGUGGACGUUACUCGCAGAAUAAGCACCGGCUAACUCUGUGCCAGCAGCCGCGGUAAUACAGAGGGUGCGAGCGUUAAUCGGAUUUACUGGGCGUAAAGCGUGCGUAGGCGGCUUUUUAAGUCGGAUGUGAAAUCCCUGAGCUUAACUUAGGAAUUGCAUUCGAUACUGGGAAGCUAGAGUAUGGGAGAGGAUGGUAGAAUUCCAGGUGUAGCGGUGAAAUGCGUAGAGAUCUGGAGGAAUACCGAUGGCGANNNAGCCAUCUGGNCUANNACUGACGCUNANGUACGAAAGCAUGGGGNGCAAACNGNAUUAGAUACCCUGGNNGUCCNNNCCGUAANCNAUGUCUACUANCCGUNGG